CUUCCAGAGGCUCAGGGCGGCUUGCAGAGUCGUUCCGAGAAUUCUCCGAGUGCGAGUGGAGUUUGAGUGGAGGAAUUUUCAUUGCACAGUCGAGAACGGAGUAAAAACGAAGUAAUAUCCGAAUGAAACCGAGUAAAAACGAAGGAAUAUUGGAGUGUACGCUCAGCUACACUCCGAGGGCCCUCGGAGUGAAAUAUGGAAAAGAAUUCAAGAUGGCUGCGUUAUUAGAACCAAUUGUUGUGGAAUUUCUUGAUUUAAUUGAUGAAGUAUUUCUAGAAAAUGAAGAAAGAAACGUUGCCAGGGACCCACGUCAGUAUUUGAGGGAUUUUAAAAAUCCACAGGAGUGGUUUAGUGACGUGCUGUUCAGACGACGAUAUCGCUUUACCAAGGAUCUUGUUCGGCAUCACAUUCUGCCUUUGCUAGUGUUUGAAGAACCACGGAGUCGUCGAGGAUUACCGCUACCGCCUGUCCUGCAGCUGCUAAUUGCCUUGCGAUUUUACGCAACAGGCACUUUACAGAUGGUGGCAGGCGAGUUAACAGGCGUUAGCGAGUCCACAGUUUCCCGAAUUAUCAGACGUAUCUCUGUCGGUUUAGCGCAACAUACUCUACAUCGGAUACGGUUUCCCACUGGCGAUGAAUUUCGAUUGAACAAGCUACGAUUUUAACACUUUCCCGGUGUUACAGGAGUGACUGCACCCACAUAAAAAUCAAAAGCCCCGGCGGUGGUCGGGGGGAAGUAUACAGCUUAUUCGAAGAUGGGCGUGUGCAGGGACUGCUGCUGGGAGACAGUGGUUACCCACAGUUGCCAUACCUGUUCAUGCCCAUACCAGAGCAGCCAGUCCGUACAGAUGCAGAGCAGAGGUACUCAUGGCUCAUGCUCGGACGAGGAAUCUGGUGGAAAGGAUGUUCGGUGUUUGGAAGCAGCGCUUUCCCUGCUUGCAGCUUGUUUUAUGAAACAAGCUGCAGACAACAGCAGCUAUCAUUGUUGCCUGUGCCAUUUGUCACAACAUUGGUAUCAGGCACAAUGAUUAUGUGGAAGAAGCUGAGCUGUAGGUGAGAAGUGUUUUGUUAUAUAUUAUUAAUUAGUAUUGGCGACACCUGGGUUUUCUUCCCUGUAACUUAGUGUAUUAUUUGCAAAUGAAGUGCAUAGUACAAAUACCUACUUGUUCAGUUUGUGAAUUGCAAUGAUGUUUAUUACAUAUUACUUCCUCUUUGAAAAUACAAAUGCUUUUGUACCUAUAAUGUGAUAUAUAAACAGCUAUAAAAUAGGAACCUUGUACAAAUAUUUAAACAGGCAAUGGCAAUAAACAUUGAAGCAAACUAGAUAUCUUGGCAGCCAAGGUCAAUUGGCAAAAUCCACCUGAAGAAAUCUGCACAUGAGGGGCUCGACUGGUGCUACAUUACAGAAGGCAAACCCUAGCAUGCCAGAUGAAAAGCUUUUUGCUGUAUUUUUCUGAUGGUGUCUUCUGUUGUUUAUACACAACUUGCAGUGUGUAUAUGUGUGUAUAUGUGUGAGUGCGUGCGUGUGUGUAAAACAAACAUGUUUUAUAAUUGAUACAAAGCUAAGGUAGAGACCAUUUACACUAUAGUAAUGAUAAUCUACCUAUAAACAAUUAUUGCCUGCAUUCUAAUAUAUUGAUUGGUUUGUUACAGGCAACAAUGAUGUGCCAAUCCCACCAGUUCCUCUCCGACCUGGGCGCGCCUGGCCAUCAGGAACAAGUUCAUCAUCCGGCAUUUCAAUUAGCUGUUUUGAAAUGAUUUUUACACACAUUGUUUCAUGUGGGUUUUUGAAAUCCGUGACCUGAUUGUACUGUUUAAUAUUAGGUUUGUUUGGCUGGAAUGAAUAUUUUAUGAUUUUUGCACUCAUUGUUAUGGCUACUUAUGAAUAAUUCAAUGAUAUAUCUUCAUUUGUUGCUAAGCCAUUCCAUUGCAGUUUCUUUAAUCCUUCACAUACCUACAGGCCCUGGCAUUUUAUUUCCAACUUGUAAACAAAUUUCAAUUAAAUUAAGAAAUUUACAUGAACUUUCUAAUAAUGCAGCCUUUUACAAAUGUCUGAGUAAAGAAGUACAUUUGUUUAUAUUUUUGCUUUUUGAUUCUUUUGUAUUUUAACUUGAUGAAAUAGGUAAUGUUUUGUUAAAAGUAUUAUUGUGCAAACAUAUUUAUGUUGUCUCAAGUAUCAUUUUGUUCACUUACCUAUGAUAUAGGAUUGUAUUGCAGGAUCUUAUUUCAUUUUACGUUUGUUUAGUUAAAAUGGUUUAUAUCUUAAGAAAGAAAAGUAAUAUAAAAUAUAUUUGUUUAAAAACAUUUAGAUAUACAGGUGUGGUGAAAAUAGGUAGGAAACUGUGAAUUCAACUAUUAUGCAAAAACAUUGGGAAUCAGUUGGUAAAAACUGGUUUCAUGAUUGAAAUACUUUGAUGUGUUGGUUAAGAAUGUUUCCAAAUGGAACAUUGAAAAUUAGUUGAUUGUUUUGCAGAUCCUGUUGCUGCCGCCAGUCGUGGCUCCACUCAAGUGCUCGGUGCUGCCCCUCAGUGGCAACGUGCAGUUGCUGUGUGUGCAGAGCAGUGUCAUCAUCCUCGGUGGGCAUGACCAGGAACAUUCAUACAUGCAGGAAUUACAUCAUAUUGAAGAUAAUUUAUUAUUUAAUGAUUUUGCAUGUUAUUUAGACAAACAUUUCAGGGAAAUUGUGGGCAUACUUUGCCUAGGCUUGUAAUAAGCACUCGUGUGGUUUACCACUGAACUACCCUUCUUUGUUUAAAAAAAAUAACAAUAUUCUUCUACAAUGUUUUUUAUUUUUGACAAGAAGGGUAAAGUUAUGA